rfam:Salmo salar isolate Sally breed double haploid chromosome ssa20, whole genome shotgun sequence.
AAAUGACACUACUGUAAGUCUCUCUGGUUAAGAGUGUCUGCUAAAUGACUCACU